GUGUCUGUGGCGGUGGGAUCCCGCGGCCGUGUUUUCCUGGUGGCCCGGCCAUGCCUGAGGUUUCUCCCUGAGCCGCCCCUCUGCGGGCUCCCAGAAAUACUAGGCUUUAGAAUUUCACCUUAUGAAUUUUGGGAGAGAGGAGCACAGUUCAGCCCAUAACUAACACACGUGAUGAAGAAGACAUGCCAACAGAGGGUUAAUUCCAGAUAAAAUGAAAUGUUCCAAACAGUACGUUUGGUUAUUUGAUCCAUCUGUGGGGGAAGGAAAGAUAAUUUUCCAAAGGACAUUCCUCCUAAAUUCUGUCUUAAAGUUGUUUACGGAAUGAAGUUGAUAAUAGUGAGACCUUGUUGGUACAAGACUCUGUAACAUAACCUGCGCUUCUCAACAAAGAAUUGCUUUUCUGACUUCUGCACUCAACUACUCAACAUGAAGGCAAUAAGAAUGAAGACCUUUAUGUAUAAUAAUUGACUUCCACUUAAUAAAUAAGGUUACUUGGUACACUGGUCGACAAAACCUUGAAAUGUUGAUGUUUAAGGGCUGUUGAUUGCUGGCAACAAAGAAGUCCAACUGUGCUGGUACCCGAGAUAGCGUCUCCACAUUUUCUUCCAGGAUCAUCACCUUUGUUGUAAAUAGCUCCCACAUAGUGUGAACAGAAGUCAUAUGUUUUAGAUUUUCUGCCUUGGCACCCAGG
rnacentral:lncRNA from 1 species